GUGGGGAAUCUUGCGCAAUGGGCGAAAGCCUGACGCAGCCAUGCCGCGUGAAUGAUGAAGGUCUUAGGAUUGUAUAAUUCUUUCACCGGGGACGAUAAUGACGGUACCCGGAGAAGAAGCUCCGGCUAACUUCGUGCCAGCAGCCGCGGUAAUACGAAGGGGGCUAGCGUUGCUCGGAAUUACUGGGCGUAAAGGGCGCGUAGGCGGACAGCUUAGUCAGAGGUGAAAGCCCAGGGCUCAACCUUGGAAUUGCCUUUGAUACUGGCUGUCUUGAGUUUGGGAGAGGUGAGUGGAACUCCGAGUGUAGAGGUGAAAUUCGUAGAUAUUCGGAAGAACACCAGUGGCGAAGGCGACUCACUGGCCCAAUACUGACGCUGAGGCGCGAAAGCGUGGGGAGCAAACAGGAUUAGAUACCCCGGUAGUCC
rnacentral:rRNA from 1 species